CCCGGUAAACGGCGGCCGUAACUAUAACGGUCCUAAGGUAGCGAAAUUCCUUGUCAGGUAAGUUCUGACCCGCACGAAAGGCGUAAUGAUUUGGGCACUGUCUCAACAGCCCGCCCGGCGAAAUUGUAGUACCGGUGAAGAUGCCGGUUACCCGCGACAAGACGGAAAGACCCCAUGGAGCUUUACUGUAGCCUAAUAUUGGGUUUCGGUGUUGCAUGCACAGGAUAGAUGGGACGCUAGGAAGUGAGUGCUUUGGCAUUCAUGGAGCGGCCGUUGGGAUACCAUCCUUGCGACAUUGGAAUUCUAACCUGCGCCUCUGAAUCGAGGCGGGGGACAUUGUCAGGUGGGCAGUUUGACUGGGGCGGUCGCCUCCCAAAGAGUAACGGAGGCGCCCAAAGGUUCCCUCAGCCUGGUUGGCAAUCAGGUGUCGAGUGUAAGUGCACAAGGGAGCUUGACUGUGAGACUGACAGGUCGAGCAGGGACGAAAGUCGGGACUAGUGAUCCGGCACCGGCAAGUGGAAGCGGUGUCGCUCAACGGAUAAAAGGUACCCCGGGGAUAACAGGCUGAUCUUCCCCAAGAGUCCAUAUCGACGGGAUGGUUUGGCACCUCGAUGUCGGCUCGUCGCAUCCUGGGGCUGGAGCAGGUCCCAAGGGUUGGGCUGUUCGCCCAUUAAAGCGGCACGCGAGCUGGGUUUAGAACGUCGUGAGACAGUUCGGUCCCUAUCCGCUGCGCGCGUGGAGUCUUGAGAAGGGCUGUCUCUAGUACGAGAGGACCGGGACGGACGAACCUCUGGUGUGCCAGUUGUUCCACCAGGAGCACCGCUGGUUAGCUACGUUCGGAAGGGAUAACCGCUGAAAGCAUCUAAGCGGGAAGCCUGUUCCAAGAUGAGGUUUCUCACCACCUAGCGUGGUUAAGGCCCCCCACAGACCAUGGGGUUGAUAGGCCAGAACUGUAAGCACAGCAAUGUGUUCAGGUGACUGGUACUAAUCGGCCGAGGACUUACCAAC
rnacentral:rRNA from 1 species